rnacentral:rRNA from 1 species
GCUAACGUCCGUCGUGAAGAGGGAAACAACCCAGACCGCCAGCUAAGGUCCCAAAGUCAUGGUUAAGUGGGAAACGAUGUGGGAAGGCCCAGACAGCCAGGAUGUUGGCUUAGAAGCAGCCAUCAUUUAAAGAAAGCGUAAUAGCUCACUGGUCGAGUCGGCCUGCGCGGAAGAUGUAACGGGGCUAAACCAUGCACCGAAGCUGCGGCAGCGACGCUGAUGCGUUGUUGGGUAGGGGAGCGUUCUGUAAGCCUGCGAAGGUGUGCUGUGAGGCAUGCUGGAGGUAUCAGAAGUGCGAAUGCUGACAUAAGUAACGAUAAAGCGGGUGAAAAGCCCGCUCGCCGGAAGACCAAGGGUUCCUGUCCAACGUUAAUCGGGGCAGGGUGAGUCGACCCCUAAGGCGAGGCCGAAAGGCGUAGUCGAUGGGAAACAGGUUAAUAUUCCUGUACUUGGUGUUACUGCGAAGGGGGGACGGAGAAGGCUAUGUUGGCCGGGCGACGGUUGUCCCGGUUUAAGCGUGUAGGCUGGUUUUCCAGGCAAAUCCGGAAAAUCAAGGCUGAGGCGUGAUGACGAGGCACUACGGUGCUGAAGCAACAAAUGCCCUGCUUCCAGGAAAAGCCUCUAAGCAUCAGGUAACAUCAAAUCGUACCCCAAACCGACACAGGUGGUCAGGUAGAGAAUACCAAGGCGCUUGAGAGAACUCGGGUGAAGGAACUAGGCAAAAUGGUGCCGUAACUUCGGGAGAAGGCACGCUGAUAUGUAGGUGAAGUCCCUCGCGGAUGGAGCUGAAAUCAGUCGAAGAUACCAGCUGGCUGCAACUGUUUAUUAAAAACACAGCACUGUGCAAACACGAAAGUGGACGUAUACGGUGUGACGCCUGCCCGGUGC